rnacentral:rRNA from 1 species
CAGUUGAGCGGAGAAUAUGGAGCUUGCUUUAUAUAACUUAGCAGCGAACGGGUGAGUAACACGUAGAUAAUCUAUCCUAUACUGGGGGAUAGCCCGAUGAAAGUUGGAUUAAUACCGCAUAUAGCUAUAUAGUUGCAUGAUUAUGUAGUGAAAGAUUUAUUGGUAUAGGAGGAGUCUGCGGCACAUUAGCUAGUAGGUGAGGUAAAGGCUUACCUAGGCGACGAUGUGUAGCCGGUCUGAGAGGAUGAACGGCCACAAUGGAACUGAGACACGGUCCAUACUCCUACGGGAGGCAGCAGUGGGGAAUAUUGCACAAUGGGGGAAACCCCGAUGCAGCAACGCCGCGUGAGUGAAGAAGGUUUUCGGAUUGUAAAGCUCUGUUAGCAGGGAAGAGGAAGGACGGUACCUGCAGAGGAAGCCACGGCUAACUACGUGCCAGCAGCCGCGGUAAUACGUAGGUGGCAAGCGUUGUUCGGAAUAACUGGGCGUAAAGGAUGCGUAGGCGGUUAAACAAGUUAUAUGUUAAAUAUAUAGGCUUAACCUGUAGAAAGCAUAUAAAACUGCUUAACUAGAGUGCAGGAGAGGUAAGUGGAAUUCCUAGUGUAGCGGUGAAAUGCGUAGAGAUUAGGAAGAACACCAGUGGCGAAGGCGACUUACUGGACUGUAACUGACGCUGAGGCAUGAGAGCAUGGGGAGCAAACAGGAUUAGAUACCCUGGUAGUCCAUGCUGUAAACGAUGGGUACUAGGUGUGGGUUGUGAAUAACAAUUCGUGCCGUCG